CACGUGGUCAUCCAGGCGGUGCA
rnacentral:miRNA from 1 species